rnacentral:rRNA from 1 species
CUAAGAAUCUUCCGCAAUGGGCGAAAGCCUGACGGAGCGAUGCCGCGUGAUCGAUGAAGGUCGAGAGAUUGUAAAGAUCUUUUACUGGGGAGGAAUAAGUCUGGGAGGGAAUGCCUGGAUGAUGACGUUACCCAGUGAAUAAGCCCCGGCUAAUUACGUGCCAGCAGCCGCGGUAACACGUAAGGGGCGAGCGUUGUUCGGAAUUAUUGGGCGUAAAGGGCACGCAGGCGGUUUUACAAGUCUGAUGUGAAAGACCUGGGCUUAACUCAGGGAACGCGUUGGAAACUGUGAGACUAGAAUCUUGGAGGGGGAGUUGGAAUUCCUAGUGUAGGGGUGAAAUCUGUUGAUAUUAGGAAGAACACCGGUGGCGAAGGCGAACUCCUGGCUAUAGAUUGACGCU